CUCUCUCAAGGGGACAUAGCAUGCCCAAAGAGAAAUGCCUUCCUACCACGGCAGUUGUUUACUAGACACCAGAGCACCACCCAGAAGUCCAGAUUCAGAUGCAAAGAAACUGCCAAUAGAAGCUCGACUAGACUGUUUACUAAAGAUCAGGAAGCGUACCAUGAGAGCCAAGAGGAUUCUGGUGUUCUUAAAGAGCAGAGUCAAAGAAGCUAUUACAGAUAUUACAGUUUACCCUGGCUGAGAUGAUAAAUCCUAGUGUGGUGAGGAAUAUCAGCUGAAAUACCCUUCAGGCAUUACCGGGCAAUGCAAUCUUCU